GUGGGCAGUGUGUGGAGAGAGAAGUGCUACGGGGCAGUCAGAGAACAGUAUUUACAAGCAUCAAAUUUUCCUGAACAUUCUGGAGCUAUACUCUAUAUGAGCUCUUAUAGUAAGGUCGUGAGUGGCCUUGGGAGGAAUCAUUUCGGGAGCACGUGGGUGGAGACAACAUGUUGAAUAAUGGAGGAUGGUGAGAGGCGCAGUAAUCACCAUAGCUCUGUGAGCCGCAGUGAAGCCAUCUCGUGAACAGGCUCCCUGCUGCUGUGUGAUUCACGAGCCCGUGACCUAUGAGCUCAUAUAUGGAAAACAGGAAAAAUAAGGCACAAAGGAAGACUACAUUUCCCAGACUCCCUCACAGUCAGGGUCAGGCCAUAUGACUGCAUUGUGGCCAAUAAGAUGUGAGAAGAAUUGAUGUAAACCACUUCAGUGUUGGACAUAAAACUACUUGUGAGAUUCCUCACUCUCUCCUCCCUUCUCCUUCUAUGGUCACAUGUUCCAAACAGUAUAACUACUAUUAAUAAAUGAAAAGAGCACAUAUACCUGAGUUAUUGCUCAUAGCAGAGACAGUGAAUGGAGUUGCCCACACUUUAUUAAACAUUG